GAUGAACGCUGGCGGCGUGCCUAAUACAUGCAAGUCGAGCGAACGGACGAGAAGCUUGCUUCUCUGAUGUUAGCGGCGGACGGGUGAGUAACACGUGGAUAACCUACCUAUAAGACUGGGAUAACUUCGGGAAACCGGAGCUAAUACCGGAUAAUAUUUUGAACCGCAUGGUUCAAAAGUGAAAGACGGUCUUGCUGUCACUUAUAGAUGGAUCCGCGCUGCAUUAGCUAGUUGGUAAGGUAACGGCUUACCAAGGCAACGAUGCAUAGCCGACCUGAGAGCGGGCUCCGCCCCCCUGGGCUUGGGACCCGGUCCAGCCCCCUGCGGGGGGCCGCAGUGGGGAACCUCCCGCAAUGGGCGAAAGCCUGCCGGAGCAACGCCGCGUGAUUGAUGAAGUUCUUCGGUUCGUAAACCUUUGUUUUUGUGGAAGAACAUUUUUGAAAGUAACUGUCCCCCCUUUGACGGUACCGAUACAAAAACCCCCCCCUAACUCCGU
rnacentral:rRNA from 1 species